rnacentral:lncRNA from 1 species
AAAACCUCCAAUGAUCGAACUUAUGACUUGUCAAACGACCAAGUCCUCGAGAUAAGCCCUUGAUGAUAAAUCGACAUUAUGAUCAAGCAAGACAUGAUAAAGAAAAUCUAGCAUUCAUUUCAAAAAAAUUCACAAGGAAAAGGCCCGAUGUUAUGGUUAGGCAAUGUACAUACAAAAUAUGAUUGGGGUGGGGGCCUAGGAUGUUCUAUUCUUAGACCUCAUCCCCAGGAGCAGCGUCACCCUCCUCGAGCGUAUCCUUAUCCUCGACCACUUCUCGACUGUGCUAUCGGAAUCAGAUAGCUCGAAGGUCUCAGCUAUGUUAGGGAUCAUCUUGAGCUCCUCAGGGACAACCUCGGGCAUCUUCAUCCUGAAUAAGGCUUGAGCUUCUUUAAGGGCGUGAAGGUACAAGCCUAACACAUACUCGCCCUUCAGCCUGUCUAUCUCCUCGAAAUUUUUCAAGUCCUUGAUUGCUAAAGCCCAACCCUCCUCAACCUUAGCCCCAAACUCUUUCUUAAGCUCGAGCUUUAGUUCUUCAGCCUCAUCUUUGGUAGCCCCCACUUCAUCUCGAGCUUUCUUCAACUUGUUUCUCUCAUCCUCGCGCUCCCUCUGAAGCUGAGAUCGAGCAGCCUCAGCAUCAGCAAGCUUCUUAUCUCGAAGCUUCACAGCCUCAACCAACCCUUCCAUCUUGUGGGACUCAUCCAUCCCUCGCAGUAAAAGUCCUCAGGCAACGCUGAGUGUCUGACAAUCAAAAAAGAAAUAGCAUUAGAACUGGAAAACUACUUUGCACAAAAUCAUAAAGGGCUCAAUACUUACUUUCAAGGUAAGGAGCUCGAGGGCCUUCAUGCCCUCAUCAAACCCAAUGUCGCCUUUGUAUUUUGCGACAAUGCUCGGGACCAGAUGGCGUCGUUCAAAAUCCUCGAUGAUCAAGGCAACAGGAGGAAUGAAGUCAUCCUCGAAAUCAAUAACCUCGAGAGUUACCCAAGGAGGAAGUGGCUGCGAAGACCUCGGAGUUAGUCUGGGAAAAUUUUCUUGUCGUCUUGGAGGAAGAGGGCUUAGAGCUCGAGGCCUUGAACUCGAUGAUAAUCCCAGACCUUGAGGAGAAACGUCAAUUGUGUAUACCUGGGGCCUCUUUUUCCCCUUCUUCUGAGGCCUUGAACUCGAUGAUAAUCCCGGACUUUGAGCUCAUUGCUCGACGAAGAGCUGAUGGAUCAAAAGACAUCUCUACACAAAAUGAAGUAUUAGGCAAGAGCUUAUGAUCGAGCAAAAUUUAUAAAUUAACAGAAGAAUAAAUAUCCUACCCUCAAGGCCUUUUGCACGCGCAAGGUCGAGGAUGUCAUCCUCGAGAAUAUCAUCUAUAUCAUACACCAAGGGCUUGAGAUCCUCUAACAUCUGUUGUUCCCUCUCUAGAGUCUCGAAGUAGGCAUGUCUCUCACAAAACUUUAUUGUGUCCGGGAUAUCCCACGAGGGCCAAAAAGGAAGAUCGAGAUCUCGAGCUAUAACAUAGAACCAUUUAUCCUUCCACCCCUUCAUUGAACUAGGCAUCCUUGAGAUCCUAAAAGCACCUCGGGAAGAAAGGUAGGCGAAGCAUGUAAACCUAGGAAGCUGUUUAAGCUCGAAGACCAUUCUACAUAGGUCAAGGUAUAGUGUGAUACCUAGGUAUCUACAGGCAAUGAAAAAAUAAACGAGCAUUCUCCACCCAUUGGGCACUAAUUGUCCCGGGCACAUGGAAUGCUCUACCAAAAAACCAACAAAAAAUGGAUGCAUGGGCCACCUAAACCCAGCCUUUAAAGAGUCCCUAAAAAUCACAAACUCAACUUUUCUGCCCUAUUCAUUCUAUCCUCGGGGUCGGGAGCCCUACAGUCAUUGUAGGGCAUGAGCCCAUAUUCCUUUGCCUCUUGCAUAGCUAGAUGUUCUUUAAAUCUACACUGGACAUCAGGAAACUUAAGCUCGACAACAUCUAGCUCCCUAGGUCGAACAUCUACUGGUAUUAAUUGAGCCCUACGGUCCCCAGAGUUACCCGAAUUCUCAGAUCCCCGGCCACUCUCAAUGCUCGACAUCUCUCUUCAAUUUAAAACUAAAGAAAUAACUUAAAAGUCCAAAGCCUUACCUCAAGGAACCUGACGCCCAAACAACAAAAUCUAAGUUUGUAGCUCAACCCCGAUCUCGCACUUGAAGAUUCACGGAGAGUAAAAAGUGAAAAAUGAACAGAAUCAUGGGGUAUUUAUAGAACCUUGGGGGAAGACCAAGGGUCACAUCAAUCUCAGCCUUUGACCCAUGCCACGUGUCUUCCAUCCAGGGACCCCUCAUUUUUUAUUGAGACAGCUCGUACUCUUGCUAUUUCCACACUGACUUUUCCCUGAAAACAUUAAAAUCUCGACGACAUCACUUAUCAGCAAAUCGAGCUCUAUGCAUCUCGCACCCUGGCUUAACUUCCUUGGCCCGAUCCCAGGGUCAGAUGUAUGGGGACCAAUGAUGUGGAAAGUUUGGUUAUGCUCAAACACUUAAUCCCGAGAACUUUUCUCAGAAACUUGUGAUUCCAUAUCUGUAGUGCUCGAGCAUUAUUCCCUGGGAUAUAAUGCUCAAGCACUUCUAGCCUUGCUCUAUUCUCAUUUUCAUGAUCCUGUCCUCGAGCAAGAACGGUCCUCGGGAUAUAUUCUUCUCGCAGCCUACGAUUGUUAUUACUAACCCAAUAAGACUCCUAUAUGAUUAGGACUCUAACUCUACCAUAUUACUUCAAUACUUGACUCCCACAAGGAUUAUAUCCCAAACAUAAUUAUGGCAUUGAUCCAACCCCUUCACCUAAUUGGACUCCAUUGGAUAAAUACAUCCAACUGGCACAAUCCUACUAGGAGUACACUACCUACCUCUAUAAAUGCCAACCUUGGACAUUAUUCAGGUACAUUUUCAUUAUUUACAGAUUAUAGCCUCAUGCACAUGAUUCUCUUUCUAACUUAAGCAUCAGAGGGGGGACGAAAACAUACCUCGUUGCCCUUGUUUAAGGUAUUGAAAGACCACGAUCGUGCUCAUUCAAAGUCCUCAAGCUCGAGAAAUCAACAUGUACGAUUUUUGGUAGCAUCAGCGGUCAAGCUGGACACUGGUUUCCCGAUACCACCCAAACUAUAUCAUCGAAUGAAGAAUCCUUAGGCCUAUAUAUUUUACCAUAGCCACUUAGUAAACCCUCCUCCAACUCAUUAUCUACCAACUGCUUAUUUAAAAAUUUUGAUGAGCUAGAAUACUUCCUAAUAUCAGAAGUUUUCAACACGGCAGACCUCAAUUACUUUAUCUCAUCCUCUGAAAUGGAGAGAACUUAUAACAUUGGUAGUUAUUCUUAUCAAUCUUACACUUCUUACAGUUUACAAUAUUGGCCUGGAUUAUGGAGCUUUUCAAACUGACUUCAUCCUUUUCUUUAAAUGGCAUAAUUUCUUCGUCGAAAACUGAAUCUUUAACUGCAUUUUAUUCUUUUCUUUCUUCCAAUCAUUAAGAAUUGAAUUAUUGAAACGAGACGGAAGUACUUGAACUUGCCCCCGCGAAGUUUUUACCGGUGGAGGCUAUGCAACCUUCUUCAAAUUUAUCUUACAGACAUUGCAGCUAGAAGCCUUCAGUUUCAUCUCUGUAGCAGAUCACCACUCGCUAAACUACUUUUACCAACAAUAGUCUCCAUCCCAAUCAAUGCUAAUCCAAGGUUCAAAUUUUCUACAUUGUCAUGUAACAUCCUUGCCACUUACUCUUUUUGAUAUCAUCUUCUUUACAAGCUAUUAUUUUUCACAUCAUCGUCA